rnacentral:rRNA from 1 species
ACAGCAGUAGCCACGGUAAUACAGAGGAUGCAAGCGUUAUCCGGAAUGAUUGGGCGUAGAGCGUCUGUAGGUGGCUUUUCAUGUCCGCCGUCAAAUCCCAGGGCCCAACCCUGGACAGGCGGUGGAAACUACCAAGCUAGAGUACGGUAGGGGCAGAGGGAAUUUCCGGUGUAGUGGUGAAAUGCGUAGAUAUUAGGAAGAACACCAGUGGCGAAGGCGACUUUCUGGACGAAAACUGACGCUGAGGCGCGAAAGCCAGGGGAGCGAACGGGAUUAGAUACCCGCGUAGUCCCUGUCUCUUAUAC